AUACCUUCUCGGCCUUUUGGCUAAGAUCAAGUGUAGUAUCAGUUCUUCUCAGCCUGAUCUCUGAGAUUAGGAACUAUUUGUUUCUAAACAGUUGAUUAGGAUGAUUUCUUGAGCCAAACUUCACUGUGAUCUACAUACAAAAGGGCUUGCUCUUUUGUAGAUUUACAACUCAGAUGGAUUUACAUUUGUUUGGGUUAGAUGAA
rfam:Reticulomyxa filosa solexa3725844_1.f1.exp, whole genome shotgun sequence.